GGUCUGAUGCCAUGUCCCCGGUAGUGCAUAUAUGCAGUGACCGGGGAUGCUAUGAUUAGAUCUAUUGUAUUAUUUUCACAUUGUGAUAGGAACUGGAUUGAGAUUACAACAUUCUAUGGGGCCAAUUUUUGUGACUUGACGA